rnacentral:rRNA from 1 species
GAGGAUAACGAGACUGGAAACGGCUAGAUAAUACUGGAUAGUAUAUAUUAUCACAUGAUUAUAUAUUUAAAGGCGCUUUCGGGCGUUCACUUUUAGGAAGGAUUUGCGGCGCAUUAGCUAGUUGGUGAGGUAACGGCCCACCAAGGCAACGAUGCGUAGCUGCGCCUGAGAGGCGAAACAGCCACAUUGGGACUGAGACACGGCCCAAACUCCUACGGGAGGCAGCAGUAGGGAAUUUUCGGCAAUGGGGGAAACCCUGACCGAGCAAUGCCGCGUGAAUGAUGAAGGUCUUCGGAUCGUAAAGUUCUUGUUGUUAAGGAAGAACUAUAUAACUAGGAAAUGAGUUAUAUUUGACGGUACUUAACUAGAAAGCCCCGGCUAACUAUGUGCCAGCCGCAGC